GACGAACGCUGGCGGCGUGCUUAACACAUGCAAGUCGAACGGAAAGGCCCUGCUUUUGUGGGGUGCUCGAGUGGCGAACGGGUGAGUAACACGUGAGUAACCUGCCAUUGACUUUGGGAUAACUUCAGGAAACUGGGGCUAAUACCGGAUAGGAGCUCCUGCUGCAUGGUGGGGGUUGGAAAGUUUCGGCGGUUGGGGAUGGACUCGCGGAUUAUCAGCUUGUGGGUGGGGUAGUGGCUUACCAAGGCUUUGACGGGUAGACGGCCUGGGCGGGUGACCGGCCACAUUGGGACUGAGAUACGGCCCAGACUCCUACGGGAGGCAGCAGUGGAGAAUAUUGCACAAUGGGCUGAAGCCUGAUGCAGCAACGCCGCGUGCGGUAUGACGGCCUUCGGGUUGUAUACCGCUUUCGCCUGUGACGAAGCGUGAGUGACGGUAAUGGGUAAAGAAGCACCGGCUAACUACGUG
rnacentral:rRNA from 1 species